CCCGGGGUGUGUCACAUGUAGGGGGGGUGGGUUCAGAUGGACAGAAGCAGGGGGAGUUCAGAAGGGGGACGGAGGGAAGACGGAGCCCCUGUGUCCCGGGGCACCUCUCCAGCCAUCCUAGCCCUGCAGAAACCAGGGGCUCACUGAGCUGCGACCGUCGAUCUCGAUCUCGGCAGCGACAGAGAAGGAGGAAGCCUGCCGCGAGCAGAGGGAGGAGAAGGGGAGGACCAGCAUGAGAAUGAAAUUCAGACACAGAGAGAGAAAACCACAGGAAGCAAGAAGCUGAGCAU